rnacentral:rRNA from 1 species
GACGAACGCUGGCGGCGUGCCUAAUACAUGCAAGUGGGACGCAAGGACACACACUGUGCUUGCACACCGUGUUUUCUUGAGUCGCGAACGGGUGAGUAACGCGUAGGUAACCUGCCUAUUAGCGGGGGAUAACUAUUGGAAACGAUAGCUAAUACCGCAUAAUAUUAAUUAUUGCAUGAUAAUUGAUUGAAAGAUGCAAGCGCAUCACUAGUAGAUGGACCUGCGUUGUAUUAGCUAGUUGGUAAGGUAAGAGCUUACCAAGGCGACGAUACAUAGCCGACCUGGGAGGGUGAUCGGCCGCACUGGGACUGAGACACGGCCCAGACUCCUACGGGAGGCAGCAGUAGGGAAUCUUCGGCAAUGGACGAAAGUCUGACCGAGCAACGCCGCGUGAGGGAAGAAGGGUUUCGGAUCGUAAAGCUCUGUUGUAAGUCAAGAACGUGUGUGAGAGUGGAAAGUUCACACAGUGACGGUAGCUUACCAGAAAGGGACGGCUAACUACGUG